rnacentral:rRNA from 1 species
GCCCUUUUCCGGUUGAUCCUGCCGGAGGCCACUGCUAUCGGGGUUCGAUUAAGCCAUGCGAGUCGAGAGGUGCAAGACCUCGGCAUACUGCUCAGUAACACGUGGACAACCUACCCUGAGGAGGGGGAUAACCCCGGAAAACUGGGGAUAAUACCCCAUAGGCCAGGGAUGCUGGAAUGCCUCCUGGUUGAAAGGUCCGCCGCCUCAGGAUGGGUCUGCGGCCGAUUAGGUUGUUGUUGGGGUAACGGCCCAGCAAGCCAUUGAUCGGUACGGGUUGUGGGAGCAAGAGCCCGGAGAUGGAUUCUGAGACACGAAUCCAGGCCCUACGGGGCGCAGCAGGCGCGAAAACUUUACAAUCCGAGAAAUCGUGAUAAGUGAACCCCGAGUGCCCGUAAAUUCGGGCUGUCCAUCAGUGUACAAAACGGGUGAAGAAAGGGCCGGGCAAGACCGGUCCCAACCGCCGCGGUAAUACCGGCGGCUCGAGUGGUGGCCGCUAUUAUUGGGCUUAAAGCGUCCGUAUCUGGGUUGUUAAGUCUCCUGGGAAAUACACCGGCUCAGCCGGUGGGCGUUCGGGAGAAACUGGCAACCUAGGGACCGGGAGAGGUGAGAGGUACUCCAGGGGUAGGAGUGAAAUCCUGUAAUCCUUGGGGGACCACCUGUGGCGAAGGCGUCUCACUAGAACGGCUCCGACAGUGAGGGACGAAAGCUGGGGGAGCAAACCGGAUUAGAUACCCGGGUAGUCCCAGCUGUAAACGAUGCGCGUUAGGUGUAUCGGUGACCACGAGUCACCGAGGUGCCGAAGGGAAACCGUGAAACGUGCCGCCUGGGAAGUACGGUCGCAAGACUGAAACUUAAAGGAAUUGGCGGGAAGGGC